rnacentral:rRNA from 1 species
AUUGAACGCUGGCGGCAGGCCUAACACAUGCAAGUCGAGCGGAUGAAGGGAGCUUGCUCCUGGAUUCAGCGGCGGACGGGUGAGUAAUGCCUAGGAAUCUGCCUUGUAGUGGGGGAUAACGUCCGGAAACGGGCGCUAAUACCGCAUACGUCCUGAGGGAGAAAGUGGGGGAUCUUCGGACCUCACGCUAUCAGAUGAGCCUAGGUCGGAUUAGCUAGUUGGUGGGGUAAAGGCCUACCAAGGCGACGAUCCGUAACUGGUCUGAGAGGAUGAUCAGUCACACUGGAACUGAGACACGGUCCAGACUCCUACGGGAGGCAGCAGUGGGGAAUAUUGGACAAAGGGAGAAAGCCUGAUCCAGCCAUGCCGCGUGUGUGAAGAAGGUCUUCGGAUUGUAAAGCACUUCAAGUUGGGAGGAAGGGCAGUAAGUUAAUCCCUUGCUGUUUUGACGUUACCAACAGAAUAAGCACCGGCUAACUUCGUG